AAGCCAUGAUGUGGGCAUUGAGACCAAUAGCCCUUGAACCUCUCCUAUGCUUCACUAAAUCCCUCUAGGUUCUUCUGCUGAAAGCUAGAGAUCUCAUUCCUGAUCUU
rfam:Brassica napus, WGS project CCCW01000000 data, contig: 2651